rnacentral:lncRNA from 1 species
GCUUCAAGGAUAAUUUCAUAAUUGCCAUAACAAUCGGAAUAUUCUGAUUCCAGACGUUCAAAGGUGAACCACUGUGUAGUCUCUCCGGUAGGAGUGGUUAAUUUCCAAGUGUUCUCUGCAUUUGUUUGCACAUGUUUAACGAUACGGGACUAAUAAACAUGUCUAAAUUCUUUCAGACUGUUUUGAAAUGGCACGAGAAGUCUGGCAAUGAUCAGAACGGUGUGUUGGCUUUAAAGGGAACGAAUCAGUUCCCGAUCGAUCUUCCGUCAAAGAGGAAUCCGUGGAAUCUGUUUCUAUCGUGUACACUUCAAGUUCAUUGUCCCCAAUAUCUGGUAGGCCACAGAACCCCGAAACGAGAGAUCCUUUUGGUCUCGUCGUGGUACUGGAGCCCCGUUCCAAGUACAUCUGCGCCGAGCGGAUGCAGCCUGCAUUUUAUGACCGCCCAAUGCAACCGAUUCUCAUUCGUGCACCCGUACUCACACCCUCCACCACUUUCAGCACGCGGUAUAACGACUUCUAUAAUUAGAUUUCCUUCCCUUUAGCUUAGACACCUUCCGAGCAUGAUCUCCCCCCGCGAAUCUUUUAAGGGGAGUGCAUGACCUUCGCGACACCCGCUUCACGACAGAAAAAAUUAUAAUUCUAGAUUAGCCGUGUUCUAGGAUGAUUAAUAUAACUUUUGAACUUUAGGAUCUUUGGGUGCUUUGCAACUUUGUAACUUCGGGCUCUAAAUUCUAAACCUAGAAGCUGAUUUAACUCUCAUCACUAUCCAGUAAUAUACUUUGUACCUAAUGUACUAUCAACAUUUCAACCUCAACGUAAACAUAAUGCAGUUGCAGUGUUGAUAUUAGAUGAUCAUAGAUAUCUUCAAAAGCAACUGUCCCUUUGAUCAGCCUCUUGGUUGUCAAGAUUCAGCAAGUUUCCAUAAUUAACACUCAACUAACGUUUCGUUCCAAAUAUCAGUUCACGAUCAGUACAGUCGAACUGCAGACCUUAUCGUUCAAAGGUCUAUCUAUUGAUAGAACAUUUAACCCACUCGUAAGACGAGUAAUUUGUCUGGUGUCACCUUUUGCAUUCGAAUACCGAUCCACGACGUCGGUAUUUGAAUAACGAUCCACAUGUCCGAACAGGAUGACAUUAACAACAUACACACAGAGAGUAAACGCAUGUUACAGGUUUCAAGCCGGCUAUUUCGAACAGGUUGCGCUCGGAUCUAUUUUUCGAUCAUUGGCAUCGACCGGAUCUACGGAUCCACACUCUUCUAAUGACAGGUAGCCAGAAAAAUAAUUGAAACUACGACGAUUAAAUCGCGGCGCGAUCUAUAAGAGGCAUGCCAAAACACCUCAUCCUCUUAAUUAUAAGCGCUUAAUGGCUGGCGAUUGGCCAGAAGUUUGCAAAACGAAAAUUUCAGUUUAAGGAAUUUCAGGUGAAAUCUUCAGGUUAACUCUUUUAUGGAUCGUGAUUUACAUCAUGAAUUUAUGUUGCAACGAUGAAAUAAAUUUUCUUCACUUUCAGAUAGUGUCCCGUUUUGUUAUACAUUGUGUAUAUGUUUACAAACAGGAUAAGAGCCAUCUAACGCCACAUCAAGUGUCUUACAUAAAGGUGUCAUUAAACGAUCUUGGCACAGCUUAUUUUCCUUGUUGGCAAAUCUGCCGAGUAUCAAACAAUUCAUUUGUUUUAACAUAUACUAUUGUAAAGAAUUGUUGAUAUAUUUUAAGCCGGAGAAAAACUUCACCAGGAGAAAUUUUACUACUGGUGUAUUGAAUGGAGGUUUUGCAACAUUGGCUCUUUCAGAGCAGUGCCAAGUUCGCUGUCAUUAUCAAAAUGCAUGAUCUAAACGAUUACUGAAAUGAUAGUUAUGUAUAUCGCCACGUGUUAGAUUGUUACGCGAUAGAUAGCUAUAUGCUGGAUACUGUUAGAUAUCUAACUGUUUGUUAGAUUAUCAUUCAUCAGCUACAGGUUAAAUUUUAAAUUGCCACGUGUUAAAUUAUUAUACAGUAGAUUACCACAUAUUAAAUUAGUAUAUGUUAGAUUACUUUAGUUUAGAUAUUUAUCUGUUGGAUAUCUGUGCGCUAGAUAUCUGUGCGCUGGGUAUCUGUGCGCUAGAUAUCUAUACGCUAGAUAUCUGUGCGCUGGAUAGCUACACGUUACAUUGCAACGCGUUAGAUUAUCGCAUAUUGGAUCAUCACCACGUGUUACAUCACGUAUUAAAUUUCUACGUGUAGCAACAUGACAUUCAAUUCAAACAAACAGGUAUUCACUCAUAAAUGGAAUAUGGAAGAAUUUUCUCUAUAAAUGCAAUGCAAUAUUGCACCACAAAACCACUGCAACACGUGAAUUUAAAAAAUGAUAAAUUGAAAUAAAAAAUUGUAUAAUACGAGCCUUGUGAACUUUACUGCCACUUUGCAGUAGCUUGGCAACCCAAUCCGAUCCGUCCCUGAUCCGCAUGCAAAUACGUGCUAUACUUAGAGAUGUCCGAUUUCCCUCGUUACAACAGAUAGCAUUUUCGUCUUCAUCGACCUUAAUCAUUUCUCAAGAAAUCUGUAUGCAAUAACGGUUCCGAACAAUGAAUACAAUGCAACUUUCUUCGAAUGAAGUCGACAACUUUUUUUCUUAACGCUUGCAAAUUGAAUUCUACACAAAUGUAAUUCAAUUUCUCCUUUAAUUUGCAAUCGUUUUCCCACGGUAUUCCACGGAAGUAAGAGGAUGAGAUAAUGUUAACGAGUACUUGUGUCUAGAUUUUACGUUCUAGAUUCUUCAAUGAGCCACUAGAAGAAAUCUGAAUGAGCAUCCACGUGUUCGUGCAGACACAAGUCACUUGAAGGCGUACGUACAUUUUUUAUGAAGAAACCAGAUUCGUGAAUGAACCUAAAAAUUCAACCUCGCAGUUCAAUUCUUGAAUCAAGCUUCUCAGAAGUUGAAUCAAUUGAGAAGUUCUCAAAAGCUUGGAUCAAUUUAUACUUGUAACAUAGUCCUCAAUCUUAUAGAGAAUACCAAGCACUAGGAAUACUAAUCAAUACCAAAAGCUCCAGAUUUUUAUUAUUCAGGUAUUGUUCCGGAACAAUUUUCGCAUUGUGGCAUCUUAAAUCAUGGACCACCAGACAUACGGUCCUAUACGGGCGCGUAAACUCAAGAUGAUCACGUGUAGGAGAUGAAUGCAUGUGCUCGCAAAGGGAAGCUGCGAUGGAAAAAGAAGCGCAGGGAAAAAAAGGGGAGAUAGGAAAGAAAGAGAGGGAAGAAGGACGCGUGUCGGUCGCGUGCCCGUUCCCGCUGGUGACUCUGUGUCUGCGACCCUCCUAUCCUUUAACCCCUCCUGCAGCUUUUCCACCGACAAAUUUCUGAGUGGGACAACUAGGUCCUUUAAAAACAUUUCGAUGACAUUACCGCCAUUAACUCCAUCUAUUUAUUCUACGACCCUUCGUUGCGUUACAAAUGUAUAAUUAUUUUCCAUUGCGUUGAUGACACGAUGCAUGUGAGCGAGCGUAUUAACCAAGUGUUAAAUGUUGAAUGGUACAAUGAUCGAAAGCACGGAGAGUAAAAAGGAAGAAUUCCAUGAAUCCAUCAGCGAACUGUUCAGGACUACGACCUCAGCCCCCUCAUCGUCUAGUCCACUUCCUCUUCUUCCGUCCCCUUCAUUUUUUCAUCUCCUCCUUGAAGCCGUCUGGACGAUGGAAAUUGAAGAAAGAGAAUCAACCAGGGAGGAUCAGGGUGACACACACGUGGUCUGUGUGGCAAUAGAGGAACCACCUACUGCAACAGGAGAUGUAUCCAUUGGAAAGCAGACGUUUUAUCGAACAAUCGCGGAACGGUGCUCGUGGAUGUUGGAAUAACGGUUCGUUUUUGAAGGAGCUUUCGAGUGUACAGUCAACAUCGGAGACGGAAGUCAUCAACAUUCUCCAGAUUUCGAACGAGCAAUAAUCUCCUUGGUCAUUAACCAUGCUGCUGUCACUCCUUGGUCGCAAUUUUCAUUCUACACUUCAUCUAGUCAACGAACUUUAAAACGAACGAACUAUACAUGGUCUCUGCCGAAAUUAUGAGCGAAUUAAGACUAAGUAAUUAAUAGUUAAAAACGAAUGAAUGGCAACGAAUAACGCUAAUUAUUGUACGCAGCGUUUCAAGUUGAUUGCACUUACGGUCAGCUGAUUACUUGUUGAAUGUACAUUCCAGUACCGGUACGAAUUUAAAUGC